GUAGGUGAACCUGCGGAAGGAUCAUUAACACGUAUCCACGUAUCAACCAAUGUCAAUAGUUUUCACCCCUCUCUCUUACGCGUAAUGAACUGAACUGAUUUCAACAUAGGAUGGGACAGCAUUUUAGUAUGCGUCGAUGUUGCUCAGCCAAAUGGACAGUCUACCUACACUCUCUUCAGUGAUUGGGGGUAGUGCUGUUCGACAGUUGUAUACGCGGGGAGUCUAAUUGUCAUACAGCCCGUCGCCACUCCUGAGUCGGCCAAUGACAAACCCUUUUUUUUACCAAUUUCACCCCACUUUUUGCUAGUUGACUUUUAUAUGUUGUACACGAGCUUCGGCGACUGUGCACACGUUUAAUUAUUUGAACGUUAAAAAUACAACUCUUAGCAAUGGAUAUCUAGGUUCUC
rnacentral:misc_RNA from 1 species